AUUGAACGCUGGCGGCAUUCCUAACACAUGCAAGUCGAACGGUAACAGGAAACAGCUUGCUGUUUCGCUGACGAGUGGCGGACGGGUGAGUAAUGUCUGGGAAACUGCCUGAUGGAGGGGGAUAACUACUGGAAACGGUAGCUAAUACCGCAUAACGUCGCAAGACCAAAGAGGGGGACCUUCGGGCCUCUUGCCAUCGGAUGUGCCCAGAUGGGAUUAGCUAGUAGGUGGGGUAACGGCUCACCUAGGCGACGAUCCCUAGCUGGUCUGAGAGGAUGACCAGCCACACUGGAACUGAGACACGGUCCAGACUCCCACGGGAGGCAGCAGUGGGGAAUAUUGCACAAUGGGCGCAAGCCUGAUGCAGCCAUGCCGCGUGUAUGAAGAAGGCCUUCGGGUUGUAAAGUACUUUCAGCGGGGAGGAAGGGAGUAAAGUUAAUACCUUUACUCAUUGACGUUACCCGCAGAAGAAGCACCGGCUAACUCCGUGCCAGCAGCCGCGGUAAUACGGAGGGUGCAAGCGUUAAUCGGAAUUACUGGGCGUAAAGCGCACGCAGGCGGUUUGUUAAGUCAGAUGUGAAAUCCCCGGGCUCAACCUGGGAACUGCAUCUGAUACUGGCAAGCUUGAGUCUCGUAGAGGGGGGUAGAAUUCCAGGUGUAGCGGUGAAAUGCGUAGAGAUCUGGAGGAAUACCGGUGGCGAAGGCGGCCCCCUGGACGAAGACUGACGCUCAGGUGCGAAAGCGUGGGGAGCAAACAGG
rnacentral:rRNA from 1 species